CCUACGGGAGGCAGCAGUAGGGAAUCUUCCACAAUGGGCGAAAGCCUGAUGGAGCAACGCCGCGUGGGUGAAGAAGGUCUUCGGAUUGUAACACUCUGUCGUCAGAGAAGAAAGUGAGUGAGAGUAACUGUUCACGUUUCGAUGGUAUCUAACCAGAAAGCCACGUCUAACUACGUGCCAGCAGCCGCGGUAAUACGUAGGUGGCAAGCGUUAUCCGGAUUUAUUGGGCGUAAAGGGAACGCAGGCGGACUUUUAAGCCUGAUGUGAAAGCCUUCGGCUUAACCGGAGUAGUGCAUUGGAAACUGGAAGACUAGAGUGCAGAAGAGGAGAGUGGAACUCCAAGUGUAGCGGUGAAAUGCGUAGAGAUAUGGAAGAACACCAGUGGCGAAAGCGACUCUCUGGUCUGUAACUGACGCUGAGGUUCGAAAGCGUGGGUAGCAAACAGGAUUAGAUACCCCUGUAGUC
rnacentral:rRNA from 1 species